AGAUUAAGUUAUUAAGGGCGCACGGUGGAUGCCUUGGCACUAGAAGCCGACGAAGGACGUUACUAACGACGAUAUGCUUUGGGUAGCUGUAAGUAAGCGUUGAUCCAGAGAUUUCCGAAUGGGGG
rnacentral:rRNA from 1 species